UGGAUGUCUCUGUAUGCCUGAGGCCUUCUGAUGAGGCUGAUGGACGUGGCCACCCCUACUUCUGGGGCUCUGCAGUUUGAAGGCACUGUGAAGGGAGAGCUCUCUGCCACGUCCCUUUGGACCCUUUGAAGCUCUUUUACUCUGCGUUCUGUCUCUGCUGCUGUCAGGCCGUUCUGUCUGUCUCCGGGCAGAGGAAUGGCAUUCUUUUCUCUGCUGUACGACAGACCAUAAAUCCUGGUGAGUAUCGAUCCCAGUGGCCAAAGGCUGACAUUGCUUUGCCAAAGGGGAGUGCAGCAUGGCAUGUCGCUCCGGCACGGCGCGACGGAGAGGAGCUCUUAUUGAUUUCGCUCUGCGUCGCGAAGCCCUUCCCCUUUCCUGCAUUAAGGGCUAAUUUUAGGCUGAGAUGAUGUGAUAAUGGGGUUGUGCUCAUCGUGCUGCAAUUCCCGUCCACCCCUGGGUGCCACCACUGCGUCCUCCACUGUCCCCACCUCUCCUGCUCUGUCCCCAGAGGCUCUGCAUCCCCUCUCUCCUCCAAAGAAAGCACCAGAAAUAUGGAGGAAAUGGAACCCCAUCUCAUCGUGCCCUGCUCACCCCAACCUGCUCCAUCCUCACUGCUCUCCUGCUCCCCUUGCGCAAGGGCUGGAGCUUAAAUGCAGCUCCAGGAGGUGCAGAGGGGGAAAUGCUGCUCAUUGCUGUGGUUUUUCACAGCUCUGCCAACCAAUGGAGCAGCAAUCAGAUCCAGCUGUGACCCAAAGACAUUGCAUGGGUUGGUGCCAUCCUGACCACAACCAUGGGGGAUGCCCAAAGUCUGCAGAUCAAGGAGGGGGGGAAACGCAUCGCCUCCACUUUGCAGAGCUCUGAAAAACUUUGGCAUGGGAAUAUGGAACGUUGAGGCACUUGUCCCUCUGCUGUCCAAGCAAUGACUUUAGCCAGACCUGGUAGCGCUUUGAGCCUGAGCUGAUGUAGGAAUCAGCACCGAAUGCUCCAACUUCAGCCACUGCUGAGCCAGAGCUGCGAACUUCUGCUCAGCUCUUUGAUUCCUUCUCCUGCAAACAGCUCCACGGAACAGCUCCGUUUGCAAUUUGAUCUGAGAACAGUUAAUGAUCGUUACUGGUAGGGCAUCAGAUGCUCCUGAUCUGUGGAAAUAACUUCAGAAACAAGACUCUUUGUCAGGGAAUGGAGCGCAUCUGCUGUCCCAGACCUUCAAGUAUGGCGAAGAGGAACAUGACGGAAUGUCUUAAAGUACAUAGCUGGAGUCACUCUUCCAUUAAUAUCUUAUGCUAUUCCCAGUGGGACUGUAAUUUGGGUUGCCCACACACAGCAAAACUCCAUUUUUUGGUCUGUAGGCAAUGAAGGGUUUUUGCAAUGGUGGGAGAAGGAGGUUAGAAGUGACCCAAGCACAGUGAGACAAAGCAGAGAUGCUGGCUUAUGGUGAUUAAUUGAAGAACUUAAAACCAGCCAUCCCUGGUCCAUCCAUCACCAUCUUAACAGCAGGCAGCAAAGGAAGGGCGUAAGAGCGGGGAAGCAUCCUUCCCAGCCCCCAUCAGGCUGUGGCUCAGGGAUUCCCCAUGCCCAAGAUGGUAUCUCCAGGUUUAAUGGCCCUUGAUGCAUUUCUCAUCCAUUAAUUCAUCCAGCUGCUGUUGACUCCACUCAGGCUGGUAGCAUCCACUGUCCUCACCUAACCCCAUGCUGGGCACUUCCUUCGGGUGGUUCACAAAACUGGGACAGCACUGGAAAUCCAGAGUGCCCCUUUUCUCCUUGGAACUCUUUCUAGGUUCCAGCUGAGGAGAGUGGGGGAUGCACAAAGGAUGGGAUCCAGCCAAGCAGAGGCAACGCAAAGCAACUGCAGAAACGCUCGCCCUCACCCCAUCCUCAGUCCAUGCUGCUCUAGAGUUCCAGUGGAGUUGGAUCACUGACAUCCUCAGUUAUCCUCAUUAUGUGCACCUCUGGAGCUCUUGGGUUUGCUCUUGGUCCGGGCUUGUGGCCAUGGUAGGAUGCCAAGCAGAUCAUUUCUGCAGAGGUUUCAUCCCAGAGUGAGGCAUAGCCAGGUCUGUGAGCACCUCAUGAAAUCCUAGAACCUUGGGAUCACGAAUCCUGGAAUCUUGGAACCACGGAAUAUCUCAAGUCGAAAAGGACCCCAUAAGGAUGAAGUCCAACCCCCGCUGAUCCUCCACUCGUAGCAGGCUUGGGUGAGGCUGUAACAAAGCUGCAGGACAGAGGGGCUCAC
ensembl:lncRNA